AUACUAUUAGUUUAAAAAAAACGUAAAGUUGCAAACUUUAUAUUAUUUAUUAUAGUAUU
rnacentral:tRNA from 1 species